CUCAGGAAAUAAAUAGUACUGAAGACAGCAGGUAAUAUUAUAAUGUGGUGAAAACCCGCCUGCCGAGGUACGCUGAAGAUAAAACAAUAAAUGUUUUAGUCCUUCUGCGGUCCUCGUCAGGACCGCAGAUUUUUUUUGGAGGA
rfam:Marinitoga piezophila KA3, complete genome.